rnacentral:tRNA from 1 species
GCCUAGAUUGUACGGCUGUCACCCGUACGACGUGGGUUCAAAUCCCGCCCUGGGCG